rnacentral:rRNA from 1 species
CCUACGGGGGGCUGCAGUGGGGAAUAUUGGACAAUGGGGGCAACCCUGAUCCAGCCAUGCCGCGUGUGUGAAGAAGGCCCUCGGGUUGUAAAGCACUUUCAGUGAGGAAGAACGCCUGGUGGUUAAUACCCAUCAGGAAAGACAUCACUCACAGAAGAAGCACCGGCUAACUCCGUGCCAGCAGCCGCGGUAAUACGGAGGGUGCGAGCGUUAAUCGGAAUUACUGGGCGUAAAGCGCGCGUAGGUGGCUUGAUAAGCCGGUUGUGAAAGCCCCGGGCUCAACCUGGGAACGGCAUCCGGAACUGUCAAGCUAGAGUGCAGGAGAGGAAGGUAGAAUUCCCGGUGUAGCGGUGAAAUGCGUAGAGAUCGGGAGGAAUACCAGUGGCGAAGGAGGCCUUCUGGACUGACACUGACACUGAGGUGCGAAAGCGUGGGUAGCAAACAGGAUUAGAUACCCCUGUAGUC